rnacentral:rRNA from 1 species
UUGGACCUUGGAGGCUCCGAAAGGGGGGGAAGCAAACGGGAUUAAAUACCCGGGUAGUCCACACCGUAAACGAUGAAGGCUAGUUGUUAGGAGGUUUCCGCCUCUUAAUGCCGAAUCUAACGCAUUAAGUGCCCCGCCUGGAGAGUACGACCGCAAGGUUGAAACUCAAAGGAAUUGACGGGGACCCGCACAAGCGGUGGAGCAUGUGUUUUAAUUCAA